GGACAUGAUUUUAAAUUUGUCCCCCCCAGUCUUAGGGUCCGCUUAGGUGGAUCUGUGUUGAUUGACAUAAUUUUGAAUCUGACUC
rfam:Triticum aestivum genome assembly, contig: Triticum_aestivum_CS42_TGACv1_scaffold_641109_T_4AL-0.228746_2AS-0.145344